UCGGAUGCACCCAUAGUCAAGAGUCAAAAGAUAUAGGAAAGGUAUUUUAAAAACGAAACCACAGUUAAUCAAUGGCCUGAAUAUGCAAAAUGAAAAAAUACAUUCAUUUAAGUAGGUGUAUACUGCUUUAAUGAAUGGAUCUUUUGCUCAAAUUUACUUCCUUCUCCUUCAACUGAUAAGGAAUAAACUAGCUUUUUAUCUUCUCUGACGUAGAAACACAAACAUGGGAGGGAAAAACACAUAUUGAUGCAGCACAAAAGGAGAUUGUUACACAUGUUAGGCUUUGGUACAAUAGAAACUCAAACAGUAAGCAGGCAAACACAUAAUUAUGAUUGACCACCUUUGUCCAGCAUAACUAACAUAAGACUAACAGUUCCCUUUUCUUCCUUCGUUAUGCCAAUAUAAUGGCCUUUCACAGAUUUCACCAAUGUUAUAGAGCUCUGAAACAUGUCAUCUCUUGUUCAAAAAGAAAUAGACAAAGAAAAAGGUCGGUCUAACUAAUUUCAACACAUCCUACAUCCAAAAGAUACUCAAACUUAAGGAAACAUACUUUGAGAUUCAUGCACUGGUUCACAUCACCGUUUAUUGAUAACUGAUGUCAGUUCCACAUAAGCAGAAGACUUCUUACCUCAAAAUUCAGAAACGACAGAUAAGAAGUGUUGUAGCACUCUAAGAUAAGGGUUGCAUACUUAGAUUGCAUCCCCAACCAUUUACUGUGUUUAAAAGAAGGGGGACAAAAUGCAAGAUGAUUCCUUACUCACGAUAACAUAUGUAUAAUAGUUCUGUACAUUGAAUAUAAAUAUAUGAUCCAAAAAACAAGGCACCACAAACUCCUCCAAUCAUAACAAUAACAAACACUAAAGAAUCCAACAUGAGGGGAACCAGCAAACUGAAAACUAUAGUAUCAAAUUUAUCAUACCACAACAACAAUCCUAACAGGAGACUUCAAUGCCCAAGUCCCAUACUUUUUUCUUUACUUCCCCAAAGAUAUAUUUCUUUGGAAACAAUCCUAUUCGAGACACAAUCAGACACUGAAUGUCGGCAUUUCUCUGGGCAAAUAUUCGAACCAUAAUUCGACACAUUGUGGGGGACUAGCCCAAAUCCCCAGGUAGAUAUCCUUCUCUGAAAGCAAUCCGAUUCAACACACUAUCAGACACCAAAUGAGAGAUUCGAACCUUAAUUCGGCGUAUUACGAGAAACUAGCCCAAGUCCCACAUGACAAAGGAACAACGUCAACCCUCUAUAACAUUACAAUGGGAAGAACAAGAAUUACAUAAUUCCACAAACAAAAUUUCUAAUCCUACACUCAUCUCUUCAAAACCUUACCUCCAAACUCCUUCGCCAACCCACAGGAAUUCCGAACAUUUCCAUCCCCAAAAUAAACGCCACAAAAACAUAACAGUAAAGCAUAAAAUCAC
rnacentral:lncRNA from 1 species